CAAUUACAAGGGAUAUUAAUCAGUCUCCGUGGACUAUACACUGUGCCUAGUUUCAUCCUCAGAGACUGAUGUGUAAGCUUAAAUUAAAGACAUCAAAUCAAAGUAUCAGCCAUCAAGAGGAAGAACAUUCAAAAUCAUAUUGUGAUACACAAGUCAAGCAAGUCUAUGACCAGCAUUAUGAUACAGGCCAAGAAAAAGCUGGACAUUUGAUUGGAAGGGUAGCACAAAAAAGAUGGGUUAUCACUAGGGAAACAAGCUCGGAAUACAGUUCACUGUUGGGACAGCAAGACAAAUACUUAUAAACUUAUUUGGAUCAUUUUUGCUGUUUAUUAUAAUUCAUCCAAUUGUCUUAUUAAAUAUAUAUAUUUAUA